rnacentral:rRNA from 1 species
UCCCUUUACAAGUCCCGUGAGGGAAAGUUGAAAAGAACUCUGAAGAGAGAGUUAAAUAGUACGUGAAACCCGAUUGGGCGGGAAGCGUAUAGAGUUGUCGAAAGAUGGUAGUAAUUAGUUGGUGUGCUUUGAACGGGCAUUCGUGCAAUUCAAUUAACGUUGUUUGUAUGGGUGUUGCGGUAUGAGGUAUGCUGAUGCACUUGCUGCCGUUGCGCUGAUGCGCUUGAUUGAUUAACUUGAAAUUUGGUUAGAGGGCCUUUACUUCGGUAUUGGUAUCCUGGCUUUGAAUGAAUAGUUCAUAUUGGUCAAGUGUAUGUGUAUGUGAGGUGUAAGAGAUGGUUAUGCUGUAUGAAUGUUUUGUUUAAUUGCGUGCAAUUGAUCAUUGCGUUUGUGCGGUGUGGCUUGAUUGAUCGCUUUGCAUCAUCAGUGUUAAAGACAAUCACCUAUAUGUCCCGUCUUGAAACACGGACCAAGGAGUUUAUCGUAUGUGCGAGUCAUUGAGUGAUCAAAACUUAAAGGCGUAAUGAAAGUAAAGUGGUGCCUUGUGCAUUCACGAGAUGUGAUGAAUAAGGGUUUUCGGACUUCGAGUUCAGCAACAUCGUCCAAUCCGAAAUGCUUGCAUUAGGGUUGAGAUUGAGCAUAUGCGAUGAGACCCGAAAGAUGGUGAACUAUGCCUGAGCAGGAUGAAACCGGAUGAAA